UUAUGGCCAUAUCAUGUUGAGACACCAGUUUCCAUAUGAUUAGUGAGGUUAAACAACAUCCAGCCUGGUCAGUACCUAGAUGGGUGACUGCUUGGGAAUACCAAGUGCUGUAAGC